CGCAUAACGUCGCAAGACCAAAGAGGGGGACCUUCGGGCCUCUUGCCAUCGGAUGUGCCCAGAUGGGAUUAGCUAGUAGGUGGGGUAACGGCUCACCUAGGCGACGAUCCCUAGCUGGUCUGAGAGGAUGACCAGCCACACUGGAACUGAGACACGGUCCAGACUCCUACGGGAGGCAGCAUG
rnacentral:rRNA from 1 species